rnacentral:rRNA from 1 species
AUCUCUUCGGAGCAUUUUACGAGGUGCUGCAUGGUUGUCGUCAGCUCGUGCCGUGAGGUGUCGGGUUAAGUCCCAUAACGAGCGCAACCCCUACCUUUAGUUGCCAUCAGGUUAAGCUGGGGACUCUAAAGGAACUGCCUACGCAAGUAGUGAGGAAGGCGGGGAUGACGUCAAAUCAGCACGGCCCUUACGUCCAGGGCUACACACGUGCUACAAUGGCCGAUACAGAGGGCAGCUACCUGGUGACAGGAUGCAAAUCUCCAAAGUCGGUCUCAGUUCGGAUCGGAGUCUGCAACCCGACUCCGUGAAGUUGGAUUCGCUAGUAAUCGCGCAUCAGCCAUGGCGCGGUGAAUACGUUCCCGGGCCUU